GGUUCAUCACUAAGAAAUGCUUCAGCAAGUUUAUCAUCGACUUCUGAAACCAUUUCAAUUAGUUCACGCCUCUUUUCUGUGACUAAAGCUUCCAUGUCUGCAGGAACUUCUUCAGUGGUAAAUUUCUCACCAUUGGAACCAUGAAAAUAGUAAGCUUUGAGUUGUACAAGGUCAACAAGACCCUUAAAUUCCUCUUCUAAGCCGAUUGGAACUUGCACAGCAGCACUAUGAUGCCGGAGUUUAGACCUUGCCUGGUUCAAGACCUUCCACGGAUCAGCACCCAUCCUAUCAAGUUUAUUAAUAAACGCAAGCCUAGGAACCUCAUAUCUUCUCAUCUGCCGAUCGACAGUAAUAGACUGACUCUGCACACCACCAACACUACAAAGG
rnacentral:misc_RNA from 1 species